AGUGAACGCUGGCGGUAGGCCUAACACAUGCAAGUCGAACGGCAGCACAGGAGAGCUUGCUCUCUGGGUGGCGAGUGGCGGACGGGUGAGGAAUACAUCGGAAUCUACUUUUUCGUGGGGGAUAACGUAGGGAAACUUACGCUAAUACCGCAUACGACCUACGGGUGAAAGCAGGGGAUCUUCGGACCUUGCGCGAUUGAAUGAGCCGAUGUCGGAUUAGCUAGUUGGCGGGGUAAAGGCCCACCAAGGCGACGAUCCGUGGCUGGUCUAAGAGGAUGAACAACCACACUGGAACUGAGACACGGGCGAGACUCCUACGGGAGGCAACAGAGGGGAAUAGUGGACAAUGGGCGCUAGCCUGAUCCAGCCAUACCGCGUGGGUGAAGAAGGCCUUCGGGUUGCAAAGCCCUAUUGUUGGGAAAGAAAUCCAGCUGGUUAAUACCCGGUUGGGAUGACGGUACCCAAAGAAUAAGCACCGGCUAACUUCGUGCCAGCCGCCGCAGGAA
rnacentral:rRNA from 1 species